UACGAAGGGGGCUAGCGUUGCUCGGAAUCACUGGGCGUAAAGGGUGCGUAGGCGGGUCUUUUAAGUCAGGGGUGAAAUCCUGGAGCUCAACUCCAGAACUGCCUUUGAUACUGAAGAUCUUGAGUUCGGGAGAGGUGAGUGGAACUGCGAGUGUAGAGGUGAAAUUCGUAGAUAUUCGCAAGAACACCAGUGGCGAAGGCGGACUCACUGGCCCCGAUAUGACGCUGAGGCACGAAAGC
rnacentral:rRNA from 1 species